rnacentral:rRNA from 1 species
CCUACGGGGGGCAGCAGUGGGGAAUAUUGGACAAUGGGGGGAACCCUGAUCCAGCCAUGCCGCGUGUGUGAAGAAGGCCCUCGGGUUGUAAAGUACUUUCAGUGAGGAAGAACGCCUGGUGGUUAAUACCCAUCAGGAAAGACAUCACUCACAGAAGAAGCACCGGCUAACUCCGUGCCAGCAGCCGCGGUAAUACGGAGGGUGCGAGCGUUAAUCGGAAUUACUGGGCGUAAAGCGCGCGUAGGUGGCUUGAUAAGCCGGUUGUGAAAGCCCCGGGCUCAACCUGGGAACGGCAUCCGGAACUGUCAAGCUAGAGUGCAGGAGAGGAAGGUAGAAUUCCCGGUGUAGCGGUGAAAUGCGUAGAGAUCGGGAGGAAUACCAGUGGCGAAGGCGGCCUUCUGGACUGACACUGACACUGAGGUGCGAAAGCGUGGGUAGCAAACAGGAUUAGAUACCCCAGUAGUC